CAGCAGCCGCGGUAAUACGAGGGGUGCGAGCGUUGUCCGGAUUUAUUGGGCGUAAAGCGAGCGCAGGCGGUUAGAUAAGUCUGAAAUUAAAGGCUGUGGCUUAACCAUAGUACGCUUUGGAAACUGUUUAACUUGAGUGCAAGAGGGGAGAGUGGAAUUCCAUGUGUAGCGGUGAAAUGCGUAGAUAUAUGGAGGAACACCGGUGGCGAGAGCGGCUCUCUGGCUUGUAACUGACGCUGAGGCUCGAAAGCGUGGGGAGCAAACAGGAUUAGAUACCCCCGUAGUCCCUGUCUCUUAUACA
rnacentral:rRNA from 1 species